GACGAACGCUGGCGGCGUGCUUAACACAUGCAAGUCGAGCGGUAAGGCCCUUUCGGGGGUACACGAGCGGCGAACGGGUGAGUAACACGUGGGUGACCUGCCCUCAGCUCUGGGAUAAGCCUGGGAAACCGGGUCUAAUACCGGAUAUGACUCCAUGACGCAUGUUGUGGGGUGGAAAGCCUUGUGCGGCUGAGGAUGGGCCCGCGGCCUAUCAGCUUGUUGGUGGGGUGAUGGCCUACCAAGGCGACGACGGGUAGCCGGCCUGAGAGGCGACCGGCCACACUGGGACUGAGACACGGCCCAGACUCCUACGGGAGGCAGCAGUGGGGAAUCUUGCGCAAUGGGCGAAAGCCUGACGCAGCGACGCCGCGUGAGGGAUGACGGCCUCGGUG
rnacentral:rRNA from 1 species